rnacentral:misc_RNA from 1 species
GUAAUUAUUAUAAUUUUCAGACUUGGACUGCAAAUACAUGGGUGGAUUGAUACCCUGUCAAGACAUUUCUGCCCUGCUGGGUGAACAAACUGUACGCAAAAAGGCAUGGGUAACAUCAAACAGGUGGGAGUCGAAUGAAACCCACCUGCUGAAGCAAUGGUAAUGAUCCUUCCGCAGGUUCACCUACGGAAA